AUUUGUCUGGUUAAUUCCGAUAACGAACGAGACCUUAACCUGCUAACUAGUUCUCAAUACUCUGUAUUCUGCAACUUCUUAGAGGGACUAUGUAAAUCAAUUACAUGGAAGUUUGAGGCAAUAACAGGUCAGUGAUGCCCUUAUAUGUCCUGGGCUGCACGCGUGCUACACUGAUGCAUACAACAAGUGCCUAGCCAGACAUGGUAUGGCAAUCUCGAAUAUGCAUCGUGAUGGGGAUAGAUCUUUGCAAUUAUAGAUCUUGAACGAGGAAUUCCUAGUAAGUGCAAGUCAUCAUCUUGCAUUGACUAUGUCCCUGCCCUUUGUACACACCGCCCGUCGCUCCUACCGAUACCGGGUGAUCCGGUGAACCUUUUGGACUCCGUACGGGGGAAGAUAAGUAAACCAUAUCACCUAGAGGAAGGAGAAGUCGUAACAAGGUUUCCGUAGGUGAACCUGCRGAAGGAUCA
rnacentral:rRNA from 1 species